CCUUGCAGGAGUUAAUGUCCAAACCUGAGAUGAAUGCUAGGAGGGAAGCUGGCCCACUGCAGAAGCUGCUGCACAAUCCUCCAGACACAGGGAAGGCACCAGAGGUUGUGUCUCCUCAGUGGGGCUGGUUGAGCUGGCCCUGGAGGCAUGCCAGCUAAGAAAAAAGGAAUCGACUGCGGUGAUGGGAAGACUGGAUCUCUCCCUUUCGGGGUUGUAGCUGAACUUCAAUCGGCGGUCCUAGUAAAAUAUAUAAAUCUUCAUUCGUUCUAAGCAAGUCUUCAGCCUUCCUUCCAACAAUGCCUUUACUCUCCCACCAGAACACGUGGAUUUAGAGAUUUGGAAUAGCAAAGUUGCGGUUGGGUAGCAGUCUCUUUAAAUAAACCGCGUGCUGGCUAUGUAGAGAGAGGGAAAGUCAUGGGAGAAUGGCAGGGGAG